UCCUCUGUAUUUCAGCAUCAAGGUGGGGUUUUGGCAUAUGAAAUUUCUGUAUUCCUUUUCAAUCAUUUUGGCUUCUUCUCGAUCGGCUGACUGACUGACCCGACUCUAUCGAUCUUUUGGCAUGUAUAAUGAAAUGGUCAAAUUAGAAUCUCUCUAAUUCCUCUCACGCUCGCAUAAACAACACUGCUUGCGCGUGGACGGCGCCCCAAAAUCAACUAUAAAUAAGCGUAGAUAAGAGAAGGUAAAGCUCACACAUUAAUUUACUGAUCAUCUAUCUCCAAAUUAUGAGGGCCUUCUUUGUAGUAUGCCUUCUUUUGGCUUCCAUGAUCCUUCUUCCUUCCCCGACGAAAGCUCGAGAAUUAUCUCAAACUGAAGUUGAUAAACCCAAGCCUGUUAUCAACUGCGGCCGUGGAAAAGCAUAUGCGCCUUGCCUGCCAAAUAAGCCAAAGCCACCGCCAGAGAAAUGUGAUCCUUACAGCCGUAAGGGUUGCUAGGUGCAGCCCUUUGAAAAAGAAAUAUCUGGUUUCAAUAAUGAAGGUGUACGUUGCUUAAUUAAUAUAUAUGUGAACACACGCCUUCGCCUUCGCCUUCGGGAAUUUAGCGACGGCUUUUGCUGUUAUGUUAAUUGUAUGUAUUUUUCCUUUCCUUGCUGUACGUACGGUAGAACUAUAAAUCUACGUGCUUUGAUGUCA